GUGUUAUCAAAAGUUGGAAAAGACAUUUGGAUAAUACCUGCUGGGUCAGCGAUUUGGGAAAAAAACUCUCCUGCCCUCUUCUUUGUUCUUCUCCAAAGCCACCGAGGUCGGCGCCGUUUUUCCUUCAUUCCGACCUCCGCCUUCUCCGGCCAGAGCUGCGUCAACAAAGGUGUUAAAUGGAGAUGAAGGCUAUGAUUUUGGAGGCUGAUAUGGAGAUAAGGGAUUUUUUACCUAGUUAGACCUUUCCCAGUCAUCACUCAACAAUCGUAGCCCUAAAACCAUUAAUUAACCCCGAAGACUUGGACGAAAUUCCUUGAUAAAUCUGGUUUGUUGAAGCAACCAUUCACGAGGCAAGAGAAUACUGUGAGUCACACAUUGCCUUCUCCGGUAAGUUGAAUUGAUUCGUCGCUAUUACUCCAUCACACACACACACAGUUGAAUUAGUUCUUAACACUUCCGUGUUAUUCUCGAAUUUGCAUUACAAAAAUCUCAAAUCUGCAAAAAGUCCGAACAACAUCGAUGACUAUAUCAUAAAAUACUUAAACAAAGAAUCAAUAUCUACUUUUGUUGGUUGAGAAUAUAUUAAAAGACAUUGUACUUUGUAGGUUGAAAUAUAGCUGUAUAAUUAGUGUCAUUUAUUUUACUUUGAUAAAAAUAUAUUAUUAUUUUACAAAUAAGUAUUCAAUUAAUCUCACUUCAAAAGUCAACAAACUCCAAUAAUAAUAUUAUUUUGAUCUUACCUCACAUACAUCGUAUGGUUACAUAUUUUAUUUAAAGGUUAUUUCCAAUAAAGACAUCACAUUUGAGGUUUAUUUUUUUGUUUUAAACCAAAAGGUUUAUUUUUUUUUUAAAAAAUCAAAUGUUUUACAAUAACUUGUUUUUUUACUUCUAAACUGGUUUAAUGGUACCCCAAUUAGUUUUAUCCUUCAAUAUCUACAAUCAAUUUUUUCCCACUGAACAAAUUUUUUACUUGAUUUUUACUUUUAUGAGUGUCGACCAUGAAAAAAAAAUCGACACCUCCAAAAAUCGAGAACUAAAAAUCGAUCGAGACCUUCAGAAUUCGUCGUUCCGAAAUGAUCUUACAACCCACAUAAAUUCCCACGGUCGUAUCUUCCAUUCUGUUAAUCGAUCGAGAACUGAAAAACGCAAAUGUCAUCGGUGUCCAGAAAUCGCAAAAUCGAAGUCAAUUAUGAAGACCCUAAAGGGUAGCUAAGAUGCCUCUUUUUAUGACGCAUUGAAUUUCUUUACCAACACGUAUGAAUGUCUCGUUGUAUAUGUCCGCAUUUAUGAUACACAUUUAGUAAGUAUGUCUCGCUAUGAAUGUUGGUAGCUAAGAUGCCUUUUGUCAUGGCGCAUUGAAUUUUUUUACCAAAACGUAUGAAUGCUAAAUUGAGCAUGCUUUCAAUAACUGUGGCACAUUAAUCUAUUGAUAUCUAAAACAUAUAUUUGAAAGCAAUUCAAUGGCUUCGAUCAUGAAAUUGUUUUCAACGUAACCUUUGAUCAACACGCUCCAAACAAUUAGAUUGAUAUGGUCAUCACUUACAUUUCCGAGCAAGUUCUCCACAUCGGAGAGUCUUUUGCAAUCUGUAUAAGCUUUCAUCAAUGUGUUGAUUAUGUGACAGUUCACCAUGAAUCCACAUUUUAUAGUUUGUCCGUGAAUCCCUGUCACGACUGUAGUAUUUGCAUAAGAGGUACAAAGGGAAAUUGGGUAGUUUUCUAUCCCCGGUUGAUGCAAGUUUGGAUAUCAUAAGCUCCUUUCUCCUCUUAAGAAAUUCUGAGUUUAUAAAGGUUGAAAAUCUUGUCCACUUACACAAUGACAAAAUAUUUUUGCCUUUGCUAUACAUUUCUUUAAUGGAUAGAAGGAAAAAGAAUGUGAGGAAAAAUGAAAAACAAGGAAGAAUCGAUCUAAGAGUUUUGGGUGGAGGGAGUUAUGCUAACCUUGUGAAAUAAUGUAGAUAUGGAAAAUAUGGCGAUGAAUAUUGUGAUUUCUUGAGCGAUGAACAGCAAGGCUUCGUGAGCGAUUAUACCAGGGAAAGAAUGAAACAAGGAUGCGAGAGAGAGAGAGAGAGAGAGCAUCUUAAAUUGAUUCUUCACAACAUUCUUGGCGAGCCCCUAUUUUUUUAUUUUUCUCACAUUCCUUUUUCCUCCUAUUAUUAAACAAAUGUAUAACAAAGGAAAAAAUAUCUUGUCAUUGUGUGGAAGGACAAGAUUUUCAAUCUUUAUAAACCCAAAAUUUCUUAACAGAGGAAGGAGCUUAUGAUAUCCAAAACUUACAUCAACCGGGGAUAGAAAACUACGCAAUUGCCUUUUAUGCCUCUGAUGCAAGUCUUGCAUACGACAGUCGUUACAGGGAUUCACGGACUAGCUAUAUAAUGUGGAUUCAUGGUGAACUGUCACAUGAUCAACACAUUGAUGAAAGCUUAUACAUGUUGCAAAAAGCUCUCCGAUGUGGAAAACUUGCUCAGAAAUGUAAGUGAUGACCAUAUCAAUCUAAUUGUUUGGAGCGUGUUGAUCAAAGGUUACGUUGAAAACAAUUUCAUGAUUGAAACCAUUGAAUUGCUUUCAAAUAUAUGCUUUAGAUAUCAAUAGAUUAAUGUGCCACAGUUAUAGAAAGCAUGCUCAAUUCUCGCAUUCAUACGUGUUGCUAAAGAAAUUCGCUGUGCCAUGACGAGAUGCAUCUUAGCUACCGACCUUCACAUCAAGACAUCCUUACUAAAUGUGUAUCGUAAAUGCGUACAUAUACAACGAGACAUUCAUACGUGUUGGUAAAGAAAUUCAAUGCGUCAUGAAAAGAGGCAUCUUAGCUACCGACCUUCAGGAUCUUCAUAAUCGACUUCGUUUUUGUGAUUUCUAGCCACGGAUGACAUUUGUGAUUUUCAGUUCUCAAUCGAUUAACAGAAUGGAAGAUACAACCGUGAGAAUUUAUUUAGGUUGUAAGAUUAUUUGGGAACAACCAUUUCUGGAAGUCUCGAUCGAUUUUCAGUUCUCGAUUUUUGGAGGUGUCGAUUUUUUUUCAUGGUCGACCCUCAUAAAAGUAAAAAUGAGGUCGAAAGUUUAAUCAGUGGGAAGAAAUCGAUUGUACAUAUUGAGGGAUAAAGUUAAUGUGGUACCCACUAAACCGGUUUAGAAGUAAAAAACAAGUUAUUGCAAAACAUUUGUUUUUUUAGAAAAAAAUAAAACUUUUAGGUUUCAAACGAAAAAACCUCAAUUGUGAGAUUGGAAAUAACCCUUAUUUUAAUAUGAAACUACGUAAUAACUAAUAACAUCAUAAUUUACUUCAUUUUAUAGAUGUGAUGGUAAAAAUUAUUAAUUAUUAACUACAAAGAAAUCAAGGAGCUUGAACUUAAUUUGAUUAUGAUAGUUUUUCAAAUAAUAGUAAAAUGUAUAUAUAAAAAAUAUAAUAUUUGGAUUAUUCUUGUGAUUUAACUACUAUAUUCUAAUUUUUUUGACGACAAUAACCCAAGUUUUGUCAUUUUUCAUAUGUUAAUAUCUUGCACCUGAUAUAAUUGUUAUAAUAGAUUAAAGUGUUACCCUAAGGUAUUUUAUCAAAGUGUAAUGGAUUUAGUAAAAAAACUUAAUUCUAGAUAUUCCACUAAAAACCUAUGAAAUUUCACAAAAUUUUCUUUUGUAACAAUUUUAAAGUUGUCAAGAUAUAUAACUCUUCCAAUUUGAAUCACUAUGUAAUUUAUAUUUCAUAAAUGUAGUGUAUAAUGAUUAAUGAAUUUUCUCUGUUAUGAUAGUAACAGUUUUUUUAGGAGCACAUGUUUCUUUUUCAUAAACAUAAGGUAUAAUUUUUUUUUUUGGAAAUCCUUUUUAAAUAUAUUGUUAACAAAACUAAAAUUAUGUAUGAAAUGAAUCAACACAUAGGUUUCCUUUUUAAAGUUAGAAGAUGUGAAAAAUGCAAGAAGACUGUGGUCCACAUGUCUGUUUCAAGAAGAGGAAUUGUUAGAAAAAUAAGUAGAAAAGAUCUAAAUAUGCUAAUUUUAAAUAACAAUUGGAAACCAUCUUACCAUUAGAUGAAGAUUUAUCUUUUAUAAAAAAAAAACUUGAAAUAAAGGUAAUCUUUUUUCUUUGUGGUUUUGGGUCGUAAUCUAUACAAAUAAAAAAGUUAUGUAUAAUUCUUUAUAUUAUUGUUGAGGGUGAGUGGAAAACUGCUUUGAAGAUCACAGCCGUUCAAACUCCUCCAACUGCCAUUUAAACUCCCUAUUUACGGUUACAAGGACAGUUCCAACAAUCGGUUUAUCGCCGACGACCCUCCUCCUUCUUCCCACGUUGCUUACAUACUUCUCUCCCCAUGUUCUUUAUGGAACAAGCAGAUAAAUCACCAAGAACAACACCACCUCUUGAUUCGUUUGGAUUUCUUAAACAAUCUUCUUUCUCUGGAUUCGGAUGAUUUUCAUGGCAAUCAUCAAUCAUCACAAUUGAGUUCGAUUUCUCUGUAAAUGCUUCAAUUGUACAAUUCUCAAAGGAACAAGCAUCCAUGGAUCCAGAUGGUGAUCAUCAUACAUUGUUCUGAAAAACAAUCUUGGUAUCUCAGUACGGUUAUAGAUCCAUAUGGUUGGGGAGUGGUGGUGGAUGCAAGAUGUGCGUGUGGGCUAAAGCUGCAGGAAAUUGGUUUCAGGACAUACUCCAAAUUUACGUGGGGCGUACUCUAAUUAUAUUGGGCGUACUGGUGCCACAUGUCGCCAUCAAGAAAUUGAUUUAUGAAAGUCAUCUUAUGUGACAUUGCGGAGGUAAUGUUUGAUAAAUUUGAUCUAAUUUGUUGCUUAAAUGUGUGGCUAACACACAAAAGGAAUAUCGAUUGUAUAAACAUUUGGGUUUCUAAAAAAGGUUUUUAAGACUUAAAUUGUGUGAUGUUGCGCCAUAAAGGUGAUUGUUUUGAGUCACAUAAAGUCUGUUUGGUUUUUUGUUUUUAAAACUGAAAAUAAAAACUGAAUAGCUUCGAAUGCAACAACCAUUUUAUAAAAUGAACCCAUUUUAUAAAAUGACAAUUUUUAAUUGAUUGAAAUGUUGUCUAUAUGAAAAAAAUAAGCUUGAUCAUGCCUUCCUGGUGCGACUUCAUUUUUGGUUCAAACACACAUGUUUUUUUCUUUCUAUCCUAUGCUUUUUGGAUAAAGUGUGUGUGUGUGAGCUAUAAUAAAAAAAUAAAUUAAAGUACGUGGAAUAUCUUCUGAUUAUAGUAUUGUAAUUCUGUUAAUUUGUUUAUUUUAGCAUCAAUAUUCUUUUCUUCUAAUUGACAUUGUACUUUGAAAUUUUUACUCAUAUUCUUUUCUUCUAGUUAGCAUUGUACUUUGAAAAUUUUACUCAUUUGGGUUGAUUUUUCAAAGUACAUUGCAACCAUAAGAAAAGAAUAAAGACUUUUAUUACUUGUAUGAGAUUUUGAGCCUUAACUUCUUUUUUAGUUGCUAUGCUAUAUAUAUGAUGGUUAUGCAUUUGAUUUAUUUUGUUGCCUUCAAGUGAUAUUUUCAUGUUUUAUUUUUAUUUUUUAUCAUUUGUUUUCAAUAUGUAGUGGGAAAACUUAAGAGUACAGUUCCUAUUUUAUUAUU